CCCCCCCCUCCUCCCUCUCUGCGGAUGACUUCGUCAACCAUUUUGAAAAGAAGGUUGACGACAUCCGAUCCUCGUUUGCUAAGUCAAACGACACUGCUGGUCCUGCUCACACUGCCCUACCCUGUGCUUUGACCUCUUUCUCCCCUCUCUCUCCAGAUGAACUCUCGCAUCUUGUGACGGCCGGCCGCCCAACAACCUGCCCACUUGACCCUAUCCCCUCCUCUCUUCUCCAGACCAUUUCCGGAGACCUUCUCCCCUACCUCACCUCGCUCAUCAACGCAUCCUUGACCGCUGGCUACGUCCCUUCCGUCUUCAAGAGAGCGAGAGUUGCACCCCUUCUGAAAAAAACCUACACUCGAUCCCUCCGAUGUCAACAACUACAGACCUAUCUGCUGCCUUUGAUACCGUGAACCAUCAGAUCCUCCUCUCCACCCUCUCCGAGCUGGGCAUCUCCGGCGCGGCCCACGCUUGGAUUGCGUCCUACCUGACAGGUCGCUCCUACCAGGUGGCGAAUCGCAUCUCUGCAUGUCUGGCAGACAUAUCAGUGUGGAUGACGGAUCACCACCUCAAGCUGAACCUCGGCAAGACGGAGCUGCUCUUCCUCCCGGGGAAGGACUGCCCGUUCCAUGAUCUCGCCAUCACGGUUGACAACUCCCUUGUGUCCUCCUCCCAGAGUGCUAAGAGCCUUGGCGUGACCCUGGACAACACCCUGUCGUUCUCCACCAACAUCAAGGCGGUGACCCGAUCCUGUAG
rnacentral:lncRNA from 1 species